rnacentral:rRNA from 1 species
AUUGAACGCUGGCGGCAUGCUUUACACAUGCAAGUCGAACGGCAGCACGGACUUCGGUCUGGUGGCGAGUGGCGAACGGGUGAGUAAUACAUCGGAACGUACCCAGUAAUGGGGGAUAACUACCCGAAAGGAUAGCUAAUACCGCAUACGCCCUACGGGGGAAAGAGGGGGAUCGCAAGACCUCUUGUUAUUGGAGCGGCCGAUGGCGGAUUAGCUAGUUGGUAGGGUAAAGGCCUACCAAGGCAACGAUCAGUAGCGGGUCUUAGAGGACGAUCCGCAACAUUGGGACGGAGACGCGGUCCAGACUCCGACGGGAGGCAUCAGUGGGGAAUCUUGGACAAUGGGCGCAAGCCUGAUCCAGCAAUGCCGCGUGCGUGAAGAAGGCCUUCGGGUUGUAAAGCGCUUUUGUCAGGGAGCAAAUCCUUGUGGCUAAUACCCACCGGGGAUGAGAGUACCUGAAGAAUAAGGACCGGCUAACUACGUGCCAGCCGCCGCAGUAA